rnacentral:lncRNA from 1 species
AAUGAAGAGACAAGGUCUUGCUAUGUUGCUCAGGUUGGUCUUGAAUUCCUGGCCUCAAGGGAUCCUCCUCCAUUGGCCUCCCAAAGUGCUGGGAUUUGCCCAGCCCCUAACUGUUGUUUUGUUAAGUUGCAUUUCUCAAGAUUGGGCAGAGUAGCUUCCUAGACUUGGUGAUUUAAUUUUACUUUUCUUGUCUUGUUAUUUCUCUGCAUUCAAUGUUACCUUAAUUGUAAAAUAAAAAUUACCAAGACAUUGCUGAAUAUAGUUGUUGAUUAGUGUUCCCUUGAUAGUAGUCCUGCAUUUUUACUUUCAGCUACUGCUUAAUCACAUUCAUUUGCAAAAUUGGAAAAUUUUUACUUUGGCUAAUUACCAUAGGUUUAGAACUUUCUGGUCUUCAGCUCCAGAAAUGUAUCGCUGUGUUGAGAUCAUGUUUUAUUUCAUCCAUGUUUAUUUGAAUACUGCCCCUCUGAAAAGCUGACUGUUUUUGGAGCUUUUAUACACAAGUAUGAGUGAGGAAAUUACUUUAGGUGUAGAAUAAAAUUGUGUAGAAAUAAUUAUCUUUGAAAAAAUUUGGUAUUCAGGAUAUUGAAUUGGAAGUGUUGAAGAAGCAGCUGUUUUGUGUGUAAUACGUUUCUCUUGUUUGAGAAUUUACCAGUUUUUUGCAGUUGUAGCUUUGAACUAUCCAUUCCCCCCUUAAAUUUAGAUACCCUGACAACCAAAAAUCUCUUGAAUUGUCAUGAAGUACUUUAGUAGAAGUUUUAUGGAAAAACACAACAUAGCUAUGAUCUUUGCUGGAAGCUUCAAAAAGGCAUCAUCGUGUGAUGCUUUUUAGGUAGAAAAACUCCCAGAAAUAAGAUAAGGUACCUACACUGGGCAAAGCCCAAGCCUCUUACUCAUGUUUCCUGGUAAUCCACAGCAGUGGUUUUGCUCCUUUCAUGACAUUGUUUUUGUUGUAGUGUUUGUCUUUCAUAAAAAUUCUCCAUAAAAAUAUAUAAAAAUUACCUGUCUUCCAAAUCAAACUUUUAUCAAACCUUCCAAGCUGAAAGCUGGUACAAUUUAAGAUCAUUUUACCCAGGAACAGAGUAAUAAUUUAUUUUGUGUUUACUGUUUCAUUGGACUUACUGAUUUAUUGGUGGUGACUUGAUCUUAUGUGUACUUGGUGACCUUAAAGUAAAUUACCUGGGUAGUUGUGGUCAUUUGACAAGUUUUUAUUGAGCACACAGCCAUUUGCGCUCUUGGUGUACAGUGGUAUAAAGACAGACCAGGUCCCUGUUCUUACGGAGCUUAAAAUACUAUGGAAAGGAAGAGAAAAUAAACUAACAGAAAAAUAACAAUUUCAGCUGGCGACAAGUGCUACGAAGAAUUUAGAGAAGGGUAAGGAACUACAGAGUGAUGAGAACUGGGUGGAGUGACUGCUUUAUAGACAAUGUUGAGAUAAUGCAUUUAAUUUUUUAGGAAAAAGUAAUGCUACUUCCUUUUGGAGCCGGGGAUAAUUCUUAUGUAGGUUUACCUGUGCCAUUUAGCUCAUUUGGUUGGGGGACAGACAGCUUUUAGAUUUGGAGCCCUUGUGCAUAGGCUGCUAAACUUAUAAACUUAGUUCCAUGUUGUAGACUAAACCUAGGCCAGCUAAUUUACUAGUAUUGUUAGUCAUUAGGGUGGGAGAUUAUGAAUGGAUUCACUUACAUAUUAUUUAUUCAUGUGGCAUAUAUUUGUUGUGUAUUUCAGUAGGUGCUGAAGAAAAUUCCAGGAUUAAGAAAAACUUUCUCAAGUAGCUGUAGUUUACCAAAAUAGUUAUCAGAACUAAUUUGGUUCAUUAGGACUUUGAGUAAAUAGUAGGUCUCUCGUGUCCUAAAUGACUUGAGCUAACACAUUCUGCAGUCUUUCUGGCACUUCUUUUCUCUUUUGCCUCAUCACCCAUGCUUUUUCUCUUUGUGGCAUCUUCUGUGUUACUUUUCAUAACUAGUACUCCCACUUCCCUUUUUACCUAUAGAUACAAACUUUUUCAACGGUCGCAUACAUAGAAGUGCACAAAUCGUAAGUAUAAGGAUUUGAUAAAGUUUUGCAGAAUGAGCAUAUCUUUGCCACUAGCACCCAGAUUGAUUUUUUUUUUUUUUUUGAGACAGGUAUCUGGCUCUGUUGCCCAGGCUAGAGUGUGGUGGUGUAAUCACAGCUCACUGUAGCCCCUACUUUGAGGCCCAGGUGAUACUCUCACCUCAGCCUCCUGAGUAGUUGGGACCAUAGACAUGUGCCAUCAUGCCUGGCACAUUUUUAAGGGCUUUUUUUUUUUCUUUUUGUGAGACACGGUCUCCCUAUGUUGCCUAGGCUAGUGUCUUAUUUCUGGGCUCAAGCGAUCCUCCCGCCUCAGCCUCCCAGAGAGUUGGUAUUAUAGGCAUGAGCCACUGUGCUGGCUUGCACCUAGAUUCUUAAAGAGAACAUUACUAGAACAUUACCGGAAGCCCCUUGUGCACUGUCCCCUGUGGGCCACUUCUCCCACCCCAUUCCUGUCUUUUAAUACUAGAGAUCAGUUGUGCUUGUUUUUGAAAUUUAUGUGAGUGGAGUAUACUAUGUAUACAGUACACAGUAAAUACUGUAUGUACCACUGCCUAUAUACAGUAUACUCCACAGUGAGUGAAACAAGCCAGACUCAGAAGCAUACAUACUGUAUGUACCACUUUGCUUAGUAGCCACAGUGUAUGCACCAUGGUACAUGCAUAUACUUCUGAAUCUGGCUUGUUUCACUCAUGGUUAGGUGUGCAGGAUUCAUCCAUGUUGUUGUGUGCAGUUCUUGCUUAUUUUACCAGUCUGUCUUAUCCUGAGAAUAUCUUUGACAUUCAACUCUGCAUGCAGACCCUUCCUUACACGUUCUAGAGAGAGGACCUGUCUUCACCCUGUGUUUAUUACCCACAUACUUGAACAGCUGUUUCCUCCAGGCAUCAUUAUGCAAAAGGAAUGAAACCCGGUGUGUGCAGCUUUUUUAGAGGACGUAAAAGGAGUCAGCUCUUGCCUCUCAUCAAUAGUAUUGUUUAUCAGUCAUUUCUCUUUUGAGGCAUUGGUUGAAUAAAUGGGAAAAUUCCUGCUUUCAAGGAACUUAGCAGACUUGUUGACAGAUAAGACCAUAAGAAGAAAGCCAGUGAAGUACCCAGUGAUGUGAACGCCAUGGUAUGAGCAAGUACAUAAUAGAGACCACAAGUGCUUUUUAGAAGUUAGAGAUAGUCAUUCUCUGGGGCUUCCUCAGGAAAAUCCUCGCUGAAUCUGGGAUCUAAACUGGGCCUUAUGAUUCUUGGAUAUAAGUUCCCUACUCCCCGCCCCACACCCCCUCUAAAAAAAAAGUACUAGAAGUUACACACAGAACUGUAGCCUUGGAGGCUGUAGGCAGUGCAUUUAAAGUACUUCUGGAGUGGUUUUGAGCUUCAGAGCAUUGACACACUUCCCUAAAUAACUGUGACAAUUCUUUCUAUUUGCUGUUGCCCAUCGGUGAUUUCAGUGGCCAGUAGUCAUACUGGAAAGUCUGAUAAUAAAGCAGGGGAUCAGUCAUGUGGUACCAAACCAGUUGUGGGGAAUGUUAGAUGUGUUAAGAUGUGAUUAGCAACGACAUUCCUGUUUGUAAACUGGCAUCUAUGGCGGUUUAAAAAUGGUGGCAAAACCAUUUUGAGUAUUGUUGGAAAUGUUAUCUGUUCUGCCGUGUUAAUAUACCUAUAAGUUGGUAGUUGCAUCUUGUACCCUUGAUAGUCAUACUUUGUACAUUGUGUAUGCCACUCUUCUGUUGAGUAAUUUGGAUUAAUUACUUUGGAGAUUGAAGUCUUGACUCAUUCACUUCACUCAUUUAUUUAGCUGUAUUUUCAGUUCCAUGCAAUGAGUGACACAGACUGUGCUGCCAAAAAGGAAUUCUCAGUAAGGGCAAUGCACAUAAAUUACUGUGUUACUCAGAAAUCAUGAAUAGUUGAGAUCACAAGGAAAUCUACUUAAAUUGUCCUGUGGUUGGGAAAAGAAACUAGUGGAAGGAAUAUGUUAAAAAAGCAUCUUUCUUAAAAUGUAUUCAAAAUAUUUUUCUCUACAAUUUAAGAGCAUUAGCAAAUACAACCUAGGAUGAAACUUUAACAGCCUUUGAGAGGGACAAGAAAUGAAAUUAAGGGUGAUAUAUGAUGCCAGUAUCAUCGGUGUAUUGGGUCUCAUAAUACAUACAAUACAUGGUAGUUAGUCAUAGGGAGAAAACAAACCUGGUGGCUGCUUUCUAAGAACAAAUCAGAUUUCUUGUGUAGCUAUGUGGUUUAACUGUUCUUGCCCUUCUUUUACAAAACUAAACAGAGUGCUGGUUCUCAAACUUUAGCAUGUUAUCAGAAUCACUUGGAAGAAGACUUCUUCAACACAUUGCUGAGUCCCAUUCCCAGAGGUUCAGAAAAUUAGAUGUUGACAUUUUCAAAGUGAACUUAAGAGAAGAUAAUUUCAAGAAUUAACAUUCUUGAAAUGACAAAAUUACAGAGAUAAGAGAACACAUUAGUGGUUGCCAGGAGUUAGGACUAGUGGCAGGAGGGAGGGAGAUGGAUGUAACUGUAAAAGGGUAGCAAGAGGAAGAUCUUUGUGGUGAUGAAGUAGGGAUAAUAACUUCUCC